GAGUUUGAUCGUGGCUCAGAUUGAACGCUGGCGGCAUGCCUUACACAUCGCAAGUCGAACGGCAGCACGGGAGCUUGCUCCUGGUGGCGAGUGGCGAACGGGUGAGUAAUGCAUCCGGAACGUAUCCUGGAGUGGGGGAUAACGUAGCGAAAGUUACGCUAAUACCGCAUAUUCUGUGAGCAGGAAAGCGGGGGACCUUCGGGCCUCGCGCUCUUGGAGCGGCCGAU
rnacentral:rRNA from 1 species